AACAAAUUUGAAAUUCUAGACAAUGCUCUUGAGCAAUGUGUCCGUUGUAAGAUUUAUUUCCUAUAUUGGCAUAAUAGUAUUGUUAGAAAAUCAUGAAUUGUUUUCUUCCUUUUAGGUUUUUGACUUCGUUUAAUGUUGUGGCUGAAUGGACAAUGAGAGAUUGAAUCAACAACAUAUCAAGUGGGCAGCUCAUGGUCAAACUCGUUUGGCAUAAAGGGUUUGUUAGAUAAGGGUGGAGGCAGCUUUAACAAUUUAGAUCUAGCACCUAUUAGACUGGUGGUGUUGGCCCCGUGAAUCUUAUCGUCUUCAAGCUGGGUGAAAAAACAAUGAUUCAGUUGGUUUCGUGCAACAUCCUCACAAAAAUGGGACAAGACUUAACAAAAAGAGCAUAUAGAUGCAGUGUCAAACUGUACCAGUGAGUACCAGAGUAAUGUGACAAACAUUCAUGAUGGUGAUUAAUCUUCACACAGCUAACAUU